GUGAGCUCCUUCAUCUUUUAUCAGAGCACUUGAUUGCUUUCAGAGUUGAGACAGCCUAGUUCUUUAUUGUGUUUUCUUCCUCUAAGAAGCAAAUGAAGGUUUUGGCAGGAUCACAGUCAAAGAAUACUCAGAAAGCAGCAUUCAAGGGGCCUGUGCAAGUAAGGCUGCCUGGCACAUCAAGUUCAUCAGGCUCAAGCUCCCGGAAGGAAAGUAUUUUGAUGAGAAGAUUGAUUGAGGAUGCCAUCAAACAAUUAUACACUUUAUACUUAAUCUACACCUGAGAGUGUCCUGUUUCCAGUAUCUAUUUCUGUGCGGAUCCAUCAGAACAUACCUAUCCUGUAUCACCCUUCCUAGCUCUCUUCUCUACAGAGUAAUGACUAAUGGAUGAACCAA